GAAGGUAUCAUUCAGUGGUAGAGUGUGUGCUUAGCAUGCACGAGGUCCUGGGUUCAAUCCCCAGUACCUCCA
rfam:Camelus ferus unplaced genomic scaffold scaffold659, whole genome shotgun sequence.